UUUAACACAUCUAAUUCAUAAAAUCCUGAUGAAAGGGCACAGGAAAGAUCAUAAAGAAAAAAUAGAAGGUUUACAAAAUGUGGAUGGUUUGAAAAAACAAAGGUGAUUGAGGAAUAAAACCUGAGCUGAAAACAAUUUAGGUUCUCUGCCAGGUGGACUCUCAUUAUUGCCCCAGUUGCUUAGAAAAUAUGCCAUCGGCUGAAGCCAAAC